rnacentral:lncRNA from 1 species
CAAAGGGAGACCUAUAGGUUAAUUGUUUAGUUAUAGGCAGUGUUAAAUUAGGCAGAUUUUGACAUAUUUAUCUUUUUACCCCAUCCAUUCUACCAAAACCUGUGUAUUUCUUGAGUUUUUAGUUUGAGAAGCUGGAAAGAGAGAGAAGGGCCUCACAGUGAUGGGUUCAGGACGGGUCAAAGGCAAAGGCCUUUGUGAUGUGAGCAAAGGCAACCAAAACUUAGCCUCACUCCACUUUUCUAAAGAUGGAAAUUCUUUUUUGGGCCUUGGACUGCUUCUAGGGUAGCAUUUUGUAGGUCACUCUUCUCCUUUGUACUAUUUUGUUUCUGCCCUGAUGUCCCUUGGGUCUCCAUCCUACUGCCUGGCUUUCUUGGCCCUCAUUUCUCAGCUUCUGCAUUUCCUUCCCUGCUCCUAACAAAUGAAGAAGCAGGCUGCAGCCUGCAUUGUGGAAGAUCUCCAGCCUCCUUGUAGGGGAUAAGGGGAUGUGCAGCAUCUGUGUGGAUUUUCACGGACAAGUUCCAGUAGGUGGGACAGUGAUGCCGUCAAGGCUUAGUUAUGAUCAUGUGUGGUGAUAAAGACCAUCCACCAUCACCCUUUUCCCCUUUGGUUUUGAAGGCCUUGCCCUAAGCUACCUGAGGGUUUAGGAGGUCUGAACACACACAGUGGAGAGGUUAAUCUAGGUUGGGAAACUGAGUAAAAGUCCAGAGCAGGAAUGAGCCUGCUGUGGCGUGGGUUUGGAAAGGCUCACAGGAAAGAACCUGCAGGAUCAGGGGUGGGAGGGGAGGCCCCUGAGGUGCUCUCCAGGGAAGAGGGGCUGGGGUUUAAAUAGCAUGCUUGGAGGAAGAUUUUCCUUCAAUUUUUCCUAAGUCCUUGAAUUCACCAGUAGAUUUUUGUAAACAAAAUGUAAGUCGAUGUUUUCUCUCAAUUAUCCUAGGAGUGACCUUUAUAUGUGUGGAAGAUUAAUGGUAUAUGCUCCUUAUGUCACUGUUUUUGAGUAAAAUCCAUUUCCUUUCUCUGUUUCAGCCUAUGACAAAAUUGAUGUUUACAGGCCUGCUUUUUGCUUAUAAUUGACAACAUGUGCAAAAAUACCAAAUUUGUGUCCUGUGCAGUAUGAAGAAUUCAGUGAAUAUUCAUUAAUGUAUUAGCUUGUUUUGCUCUCUGUUCAUAUAUGGCUCUAUUCUUAGAAAUAUAAUUUGAAUGUGAUCUUUCAAUAGUCUGAAUAUUUUACAAAUUAUAGCUAUGUCUUGUGAAAAUAACCUCAAAAAGAAAAAUACGACUCUGUUGUCUUACUUGAUAUUUCUUGCCCUAGUAAUGUACUUGACAUUUAUGUUCCUAAGCAGUGUAAGUACCAGUAGAAUUUCUCUGUCAAACUCAAUGAUCAUUUAGUACUUUUGUCUUCUCCCAUGUGCUUGAAGGAAAAAUAAAGUGUCACUACCGUAUUUCUUGUUUUCAUCAAAAAAUAAAAAUAAUUUAAAAAA